GGGAACUGAAACAUCUAAGUACCCAGAGGAAGAGAAAGAAAAUUCGAUUCCCUAAGUAGCGGCGAGCGAAAGGGGAAGCGCCCAAACCAGGAACUUGUUCCUGGGGUUGCGGAUAGAUCAUAACGCUUUGAUUUCUUUAGUUGAAGAGAACUGGAAAGUUCCGUCGUAGAAGGUAAUAACCCUGUAGGCUAAAAGGAAAGAAAAGUAGAUUUACUCCAGAGUACCACGAGACACGUGAAACCUUGUGGGAAGCUGGGAGGACCAUCUCCCAAGGCUAAAUACUACCUAGUGACCGAUAGUGAAGCAGUACCGUGAGGGAAAGGUGAAAAGAACCCCGGAAGGGGAGUGAAAUAGAAUCUGAAACCGUGUGCCUACAAUCGGUCGGAGCACAUUAAAGUGUGACGGCGUACUUUUUGUAGAACGGGCCAGCGAGUUACGAUAUAUAGCAAGGUUAAGCACUUAUGGUGUGGAGCCGAAGGGAAACCGAGUCUGAAUAGGGCAACUAGUUGUAUAUUGUAGACCCGAAACCGGGUGACCUAUCCAUGGCCAGGAUGAAGCGGAAGUAAAAUUCCGUGGAGGUCCGAACCACGUUGGUGUUGAAAAACCAUGGGAUGAGCUGUGGAUAGCGGAGAAAUUCCAAUCGAACUCGGAGAUAGCUGGUUCUCCUCGAAAUAGCUUUAGGGCUAGCGUCGGGUAAUUGAGUAGUGGAGGUAGAGCACUGAAUGGGCUAGGGGCUGACAACAGUUACUGAACCCUAUCAAACUCCGAAUGCCAUAUACUUGUACCCCGGCAGUCAGACUACGAAUGAUAAGAUCCGUGGUCAAAAGG
rnacentral:rRNA from 1 species